rnacentral:rRNA from 1 species
UACGUAGGGGGCAAGCGUUGUCCGGAAUUAUUGGGCGUAAAGCGCGCGCAGGCGGUUUUUUAAGUCUGGUGUAUAAACCUUGGGCUCAACUUAAGGAGGCACUGGAAACUGGGGAACUGGAGUGUAGGAGAGGAAAGUGGAAUUCCACGUGUAGCGGUGAAAUGCGUAGAUAUCGGGAGGAACACCUGUGGCGAAAGCGGCUCACUGGACCAUAACUGACGCUGAUGCACGAAAGCUAGGGGAGCAAACAGG